rnacentral:lncRNA from 1 species
CGCCCGCAAUGGACUGCAGAUAUUAAGCAGUGAAGACAGUGAGUUACUCAGCUGAUUUGUUCCGUGGAGAGUCAGGCUACCUGGUCAUCCUACUCAAUAUCCAGGCCUGCCCGAACCUCAAGACUGGGUGGGCACCGUUCAGAGGCCCCCAGCCCCUGCCCUUCUCCUGCGAGGGCCGAGCUCACCGUCAGGUCCCUGGGGCUUGGAACUAAGUAGCCACUUCAUAAACACAUGGAUUUUGGGGUGCCCCGGCCCCCAUAAAGAGAUCAAAUUAUGUCUCCUGCAUUCUGCUGUAAUGAAAUGAAUCAUAAAAUAUGUUUUAGAAGAAAAUUACUAUAAAAAGUUUCAAAAUUGUUAUUUAAAAAGGGACCCCGCCAACACGCAUAUUGACCCAAGGAAUCUUCGGGAUGGACUCUGCUUCUGAUCACAUCUUCACCUGCUCGAGGAUCACCUGUGGCACGUCGGGCUCUGAAUGCAAGCCCCAGGACACCCCAUUUCAUGCGUCUGCAUUCUUAACCUCACUGCGCAUUAACAUGCAUCUCAAUGCAUCCAAAAUACCGCACCCCCAUCACAUCAGAGAGCAUUAAAAAUAAGCCAGCUCAAUGCACAAAAAUGAGGGCGACAAUCGGAAACACAAUGAUGUUUCUAAAGAAUGUCCAACCUUAACUGCAGCUUUUCAGUUUCCAAAUUCUCUCUUCUUUAUCUCGUCAUUUCCCUGAAUCACUGGGGCCCAACAACACCAUUCUCAGUCAGAUGUCUGCCUGAGACACAUCAUUUCAAAUUCACCGGUAAAAUGUUUGCAGUUACCAGAAGUGACCUUGUUUUACACACCAACGUGAUGAAUUUAUGUGGGUGGCUUAGUGGAGCUGUUCAUUUCCAGCUUGGUAAUAUUUUAAUUAAUUAAAA